CAGUAAGGAGGACGACUAAGACCGCCACGUCCUAUGGCGACGUCGGCACUAACACGUCCUGUGCG
rnacentral:sRNA from 1 species